rnacentral:rRNA from 1 species
GUUAAUUGAUCCCCUUGGGGAGUCCGGCCCCAAGGUUAAAAUUCAAAGGAAUGGACGGGGGCCGGCCCAAGCGGUGGACCAUGGGGUUUAAUUGGAGGCAACGGGAGGACCCUUACCGGCUUUGGCCAUCAACGGACGUUUCCGGGAAGGAUUUGUGCCUUUGGGGACAUUGGGACCAGAGGUGCAAGGCUGUUGUCAUCUUGUGUUGUGGGAAGAUGGGGUAAAUUCCCUCACGAGGGCCACCCCUUUCCUUAUUUACCAACAUGUUAUGGUGGGCACUCUAAGGAGACUGCCGGUGACAAACCGGAGGAAGGUGGGGAUGACGUCAAGUCAUCAUGGCCCUUACGGCCUGGGCUACACACGUGCUACAAUGGUCGGUACAAAGGGAAGCCAAUCCGGAGAUCGAGCUAAUUUCAUAAAAGCGAUCGUAGUCCGGAUCGCAGUCUGCAACUCGAAUCCGUGAAGUCGGAAUCGUUAGUAACGCGAAUCAGAAUGUUCGGUGAAUACGU